UUGUCUCAAAGAUUAAGCCAUGCAUGUCUCAGUACAAGCCGAAUUAAGGUGAAACCGCGAAAGGCUCAUUAAAUCAGUUAUGGUUCCUUAGAUCGUACCCACAUUUACUUGGAUAACUGUGGUAAUUCUAGAGCUAAUACAUGCAAACAGAGCUCCGACCGGAGACGGAAGGAGCGCUUUUAUUAGAUCAAAACCAAUCGGUGGCGAUUUCCGUCGUCAUCGUACAACUUGGUGACUCUGAAUAACUUUACGCUGAUCGCACGGUCUCGCACCGGCGACGCAUCUUUCAAAUGUCUGCCUUAUCAACUGUCGAUGGUAGGUUCUGCGCCUACCAUGGUUGUAACGGGUAACGGGGAAUCAGGGUUCGAUUCCGGAGAGGGAGCCUGAGAAACGGCUACCACAUCCAAGGAAGGCAGCAGGCGCGCAAAUUACCCACUCCCGGCACGGGGAGGUAGUGACGAAAAAUAACGAUACGGGACUCAUCCGAGGCCCCGUAAUCGGAAUGAGUACACUCUAAACCCUUUAACGAGGAUCAAUUGGAGGGCAAGUCUGGUGCCAGCAGCCGCGGUAAUUCCAGCUCCAAUAGCGUAUAUUAAAGUUGUUGCGGUUAAAAAGCUCGUAGUCGAAUCUGUGUCCCGCGCCGCCGGUUCAUCGUUCGCGGUGUUAACUGGCGUUCCGCGGGACGUCCUGCCGGUGGGCUUAGCUCGAGAGGGCGGCCCAACUCAAUCCCGCCGCGGUGCUCUUCAUUGAGUGUCGAGGUGGGCCGGCACGUUUACUUUGAACAAAUUAGAGUGCUUAAAGCAGGCUAAAACUUCGCCUGAAUACUGUGUGCAUGGAAUAAUGGAAUAGGACCUCGGUUCUAUUUUGUUGGUUUUCGGAACCCCGAGGUAAUGAUUAAUAGGAACGGAUGGGGGCAUUCGUAUUGCGACGUUAGAGGUGAAAUUCUUGGAUCGUCGCAAGACGGACAGAAGCGAAAGCAUUUGCCAAAAACGCUUUCAUUGAUCAAGAACGAAAGUUAGAGGUUCGAAGGCGAUCAGAUACCGCCCUAGUUCUAACCAUAAACGAUGCCAGCUAGCGAUCCGCCGACGUUCCUCCGAUGACUCGGCGGGCAGCUUCCGGGAAACCAAAGCUUUUGGGUUCCGGGGGAAGUAUGGUUGCAAAGCUGAAACUUAAAGGAAUUGACGGAAGGGCACCACCAGGAGUGGAGCCUGCGGCUUAAUU
rnacentral:rRNA from 1 species